rnacentral:rRNA from 1 species
AUUGAACGCUGGCGGCAUGCCUUACACAUGCAAGUCGAACGGUAGCACGGGUGCUUGCACCUGGUGGCGAGUGGCGAAAGGGUGAGUAAUACAUCGGAACAUGUCCUGUAGUGGGGGAUAGCCCGGCGAAAGCCGGAUUAAUACCGCAUACGAUCUACGGAUGAAAGCGGGGGACCUUCGGGCCUCGCGCUAUAGGGUUGGCCGAUGGCUGAUUAGCUAGUUGGUGGGGUAAAGGCCUACCAAGGCGACGAUCAGUAGCUGGUCUGAGAGGACGACCAGCCACACUGGGACUGAGACACGGCCCAGACUCCUACGGGAGGCAGCAGUGGGGAAUUUUGGACAAUGGGCGAAAGCCUGAUCCAGCAAUGCCGCGUGUGUGAAGAAGGCCUUCGGGUUGUAAAGCACUUUUGUCCGGAAAGAAAUCCUUGGCUCUAAUACAGUCGGGGGAUGACGGUACCGGAAGAAUAAGCACCGGCUAACUACGUG